rnacentral:rRNA from 1 species
GAUGAACGCUGGCGGCGUGCUUAACACAUGCAAGUCGAACGGAAAGGCUCCUGCUUGCCGGGGUACUCGAGUGGCGAACGGGUGAGUAACACGUGGGUGAUCUGCCCUGCACUUCGGGAUAAGCCUGGGAAACUGGGUCUAAUACCGGAUAGGACCACAUUUUGGAUGGUGUGGUGGAAAGUUUUUCGGUGUGGGAUGAGCUCGCGGCCUAUCAGCUUGUUGGUGGGGUAAUGGCCUACCAAGGCGUCGACGGGUAGCCGGCCUGAGAGGGUGUACGGCCACAAUGGGACUGAGAUACGGCCCAGACUCCUACGGGAGGCAGCAGUGGGGAAUAUUGCACAAUGGGCGCAAGCCUGAUGCAGAGACGCCGCGUGGGGGAUGACAGCCUUCGGGUUGUAAACUCCUUUCGCUAGGGACGAAGCGCAAGUGACGGUACCUGGAGAAGAAGCACCGGCUAACUACGUG